rfam:Bacillus licheniformis DSM 13, complete genome.
ACGAUGUUCCGCUGUGCCGGUUAACUCGCGCAAGAGCAUCUG